GAUGAAGAACGCAGCGAAAUGCGAUACGUAAUGUGAAUUGCAGAAUUCAGUGAAUCAUCGAAUCUUUGAACGCAUAUUGCGCUCUUUGGUAUUCCGAAGAGCAUGCUUGUUUGAGUAUCAGUAAACACCUCAAAGCUUUUGGAUUUUUUAAUCGAAAAGCUUUGGACUUGAGCAAUCCCAACACCAAUCUUUUUGAGAUCGGUGGCGGGUUGCUUGAAAUGCAGGUGCAGCUGGACAUUCUCCUGAGCUAAAAGCAUAUUCAUUUAGUCCCGUCAAACGGAUUAUUACUUUUGCUGCAGCUAACAUAAAGGGAGUUUGACCGUAUUGGCUGACUGAUGCAGGAUUUCACAAGGGUCGGCAACGAUUCUUGUUAAACUCGAUCUCAAAUCAAGUAAGACUACCCGCUGAACUUAAGCAUAUCAAUAACGGAGGA
rnacentral:misc_RNA from 1 species